UUACAUAGAGCGUUUUGACUUUAACUUGUUGAUUCGUAAUGCCUGUUAGGUUAGCUCUUGUCAAUGGUGAUUGAGUUUAGGACUGGUUUAACUUGAGGGUCUCUAUUGCGGUGGCACUUAGAUUUAGUUAUCGAACUUGUUGCCUAAGGAUAAUUUAUUGAGCAUGUCAAUCACCUGUAAAUCAACUAGUCAAUUACCUCAUCCUCCGGAAUUUCUCAUCUAAUUGAUUUCUUUGUUUACUCUGCUAUUGUUUACUGCAUCUUGCUGCAUGUUGUUU
rnacentral:sRNA from 1 species